GUGGGUGUUCUGACCAGUAGAGGGAGUACAGUGGAAGCCACAGACCUGCCUCUACCUAGGAAAACAGAACAGCAAAGGCAAUACUGUAUUCCUGGGAUUGCAGAGAUUAGUGCCACCAUCAGGCACUUGAAGAAUGAGGAGUGGUGAUUCCUACCACAUCCCCCUUCAACUCACCUAUUUGGCCGAAAUCUUAGUUUCAGAGGAAGGAGUGCUUCCACCCAGGGACGCAGAAAUGAUUCCAUUGAACUGGAAAUUAAGACUACUGCCUUAAUGAGGGGGGCUCCUCAUGUCUCUAAGUCGGCGGACAAAGAAGGGAUUACUGUGCUGACUGGGUGAUUGGUCAUGACUACUAAGGGGAAAUUGAGCUGCUACUCUACAGUGGAGAGGAAGACAUUCUACAUACUAAUGGUGCAAACAAAUCUCCCUUGCUCUGGAGAAGGGCUGUUCACUACACAAAUGUUCUUGAAAAGAUAAUCCAGAGCAAAGAAAAACCAGCAUCUUGCUUAUAAGACAUGCAAGGAUUGCAGAGGGCAAGGGAGGUCCUCUCCCGCUGGAAGAUUUGGCGAAGGAGAAAGAGGUGCACCUCUAGAAAUAAGAAGAUGGCUUCUGAGCACUGACAUUGGUCCUCGGGGUAAAAGGUGUAUGGCCUCUCGUGGUGUUCUCCUCCUGAGGAUUCAAGAAGGUGGCAUCUCCCUCUUAUCUCCCUCCAAUGGGUUAUGGAGAAUCCAGUCAUGCAGACUUCCUUUGCUGCUCUUCUUCUGACUUUUGGAAGGGAUAGCCUGUCUAAACUGGGUGUAGAGAGCUAGGGGACAUGUUUUCCUUUCUGAUUUGGGCUAGGGAAGAGAGAGAAGGUGGUAAUUUGUGGCUGCAGCAGAGGCAGCAGUCAUGCUAAGAAAGGCAAAGGAAGAUGGUAGGAACCCAGGAAGGUCACCUUCCUAUGUAGGUCUAACAACGGGUUAAUGAGAAUAGAGACUGUUUCCAGAACACUGGCUAGGUUUUAGAGGGAAACUUGCUAGUCUAGCCUCUCUCCCCAUUUGAGCAUUCAAUCUCUUUCCUGAAAAGGGUUCAGAGGGAAUUGAACUGCCAACAAGGGUCUGUGUUUCAGGACAAGGAUGCCUGUGAUUGUGGGCAGCACAGGUUUUCCAUGGUCACUUCUCUAGGAUCUAUACUUACACUAUAAUUUGUAUUAUUUAUUAAAAGGACACAAUAGGAGUAACAUUAGAGGACAACAGAUUUUAUUAGUAGAAAGGACCUCAGAGAUGGCCUUCUCCAAGAAUUUUUUAACUGAGGUUCUAGGGCUCCUCAGGUCAUUAUGGAUAGGUUGCAGGGGUCCAACCCUCUCCUAGCAUUACUCAUUUGGCCCUCUGGAUGUUCACCUUUUGACUGGGGAUCAAAUAGAAUAGAUAAGAGUUUGAACAAAAAGAGAUUGGUGUGUUCUGGUGUGCCUGGGUUGGCUGGUGUGGCCAGGUGGGAGGUAGUGGCCUUGAGCAGGAUAAGGGAUGAGGCAUCAUGCACUGUGGGUGUCUGGAAAUAGCCACGCACUGCAGUGGUGGAAUCCAGCAGCCUUGAUAUCCUUC